rnacentral:lncRNA from 1 species
GACAGCGUCAAACGGAAGUGAGAGAUGUAUUCAUCUGGCAGCUUUUCGCUGAGUCGGGGCAAAGCUGGAACGUUUUAAGGCCAGUCAAAGAUGUGGUCAUCAGGAGAGGUCUUGUGUGUGGGAGUAAUCUCUACUUCCUCUGUCUUUCUUGUUUACCAGACAUUCCAUCUAUGUGAAGAAAGCUAUUGUCUGCACACCUGGCCAUCAAGCUAUGCUAUGCACACCUGGUCUUCAAGCCAUGAUCAGAACAUCUGGCCGUCAAGCUAUGAUCUGAACAUCUGGCUGUCAAGCUAUGAUCUGCACACCUGCUCCAUGAGUGACCCACCUGACUGUCUACACAGCUCCAGAGGUGACCAUGCUACUGUCUACCACCCACACAUUCCCAGAAAUGGCCUUCCCAUAGCAUGGCUGCAUAAGUGAACAUCUAACUGUCACCUUUCAGAGGUGACACACCCAACUGCAUCUUUAUAGCUGCUCGUCCAUUCAGUUUCCUGUCUUUACCAAUAUGGGUUCUCCACACUUCAUCAUUGUUUUAUCUGAAAGGGAUUUUUACAAUCAUGGAAGCCAUUCAAAAA